AUGCAAGUCGAACGCGUUGGCCCAAUUGAUUGAUGGUGCUUGCACCUGAUUGAUUUUGGUCGCCAACGAGUGGCGGACGGGUGAGUAACACGUAGGUAACCUGCCCAGAAGCGGGGGACAACAUUUGGAAACAGAUGCUAAUACCGCAUAACAGCGUUGUUCGCAUGAACAACGCUUAAAAGAUGGCUUCUCGCUAUCACUUCUGGAUGGACCUGCGGUGCAUUAGCUUGUUGGUGGGGUAACGGCCUACCAAGGCGAUGAUGCAUAGCCGAGUUGAGAGACUGAUCGGCCACAAUGGGACUGAGACACGGCCCAUACUCCUACGGGAGGCAGCAGUAGGGAAUCUUCCACAAUGGGCGCAAGCCUGAUGGAGCAACACCGCGUGAGUGAAGAAGGGUUUCGGCUCGUAAAGCUCUGUUGUUAAAGAAGAACACGUAUGAGAGUAACUGUUCAUACGUUGACGGUAUUUAACCAGAAAGUCACGGCUAACUACGUGCCAGCAGCCGCGGUAAUACGUAGGUGGCAAGCGUUAUCCGGAUUUAUUGGGCGUAAAGAGAGUGCAGGCGGUUUUCUAAGUCUGAUGUGAAAGCCUUCGGCUUAACCGGAGAAGUGCAUCGGAAACUGGAUAACUUGAGUGCAGAAGAGGGUAGUGGAACUCCAUGUGUAGCGGUGGAAUGCGUAGAUAUAUGGAAGAACACCAGUGGCGAAGGCGGCUACCUGGUCUGCAACUGACGCUGAGACUCGAAAGCAUGGGUAGCGAACAGGAUUAGAUACCCUGGUAGUCCAUGCCGUAAACGAUGAGUGCUAGGUGUUGGAGGGUUUCCGCCCUUCAGUGCCGGAGCUAACGCAUUAAGCACUCCGCCUGGGGAGUACGACCGCAAGGUUGAAACUCAAAGGAAUUGACGGGGGCCCGCACAAGCGGUGGAGCAUGUGGUUUAAUUCGAAGCUACGCGAAGAACCUUACCAGGUCUUGACAUCUUGCGCCAACCCUAGAGAUAGGGCGUUUCCUUCGGGAACGCAAUGACAGGUGGUGCAUGGUCGUCGUCAGCUCGUGUCGUGAGAUGUUGGGUUAAGUCCCGCAACGAGCGCAACCCUUGUUACUAGUUGCCAGCAUUAAGUUGGGCACUCUAGUGAGACUGCCGGUGACAAACCGGAGGAAGGUGGGGACGACGUCAGAUCAUCAUGCCCCUUAUGACCUGGGCUACACACGUGCUACAAUGGACGGUACAACGAGUCGCGAACUCGCGAGGGCAAGCAAAUCUCUUAAAACCGUUCUCAGUUCGGACUGCAGGCUGCAACUCGCCUGCACGAAGUCGGAAUCGCUAGUAAUCGCGGAUCAGCAUGCCGCGGUGAAUACGUUCCCGGGCCUUGUACACACCGCCCGUCACACCAUGAGAGUUUGUAACACCCAAAGUCGGUGGGGUAACCUUUUAGGAGCCAGCCG
rnacentral:rRNA from 1 species